UAGCUGAGCUGCGUGCUUCCCCUGCCCGGCCAGCAGACGUGGUGGGGUGUGAGGGUAGGCGAUGGGGACCGUGCCUGUCCCCACACAACCCCAACCCCAGUCAGGCUCCGUGUAGGGGCAGCGCAUCCCUGCCCUGCCACCACUUCAGCCCCACCUCCCGGCCCCACAGCAGGGUUAGUGAAGGACACACGAGCCACUCGCCGCUUCAGAAACACAUUGCUGGUGGGGAACACAGGAGCAGGGGUGAGAUGCCCACAGCUGCCUGCCCACUCCGGGAGGUGGGAUGGCAUUUCCAUCUUCUCACACCAGUUUUGGACUGUGCCCAUGGGUCCAGACCCUGCCC